ensembl:rRNA 5S_rRNA 5S ribosomal RNA
GUCUACAGCCAUGCUACCCUGCACAUGCCCAAUCUCGUCUGAUCUCCAAAGCUAGGCAGGGUCAGGCCUGGUUAAUACUUGGAUGGGAGACCACUUAGGAUAAACGGGUGCUGUCGGCA